GGGCUGUUGGCCUAAUGGACAAGGCAUCAGACUUCGAAUCUGGGGAUUGUGGGUUCGAGUCCCAUGCAGCUCA